UAAUACGGAGGGGGCAAGCGUUGUUCGGAAUCAUUGGGCGUAAAGCGUGUGUAGGCGGCCGGAUAAGUCAGACGUGCAAGCCCAUGGCUCAACCAUGGAAUUGCGUUUGAAACUAUUCGGCUUGAGUGCAGGAGAGGAAAGCGGAAUUCCCAGUGUAGCGGUGAAAUGCAUUGAUAUUGGGAAGAACAUCUGUGGCGAAGGCGGCUUUCUGGUCUGCAACUGACGCUGAGAUACGAAAGCCAGGGGAGCGAACGGGAUUAGAUACCCCGGUAGUCCUGGCCGUAAACGAUGGGCACUAGGUGCGGGAGGUAUCGAUCCCUUCCGUGCCGCAGCUAACGCAUUAAGUGCCCCGCCUGGGGAGUACGGUCGCAAGGCUG
rnacentral:rRNA from 1 species